UUUUUAGUAUAAGUAGAUUCCAUGCAAUGUUUGGAAUCUACUUAUACUAAAA
rfam:Pan troglodytes isolate Yerkes chimp pedigree #C0471 (Clint) chromosome 2A, whole genome shotgun sequence.